ACCUCCACCUUCUGGAAAAUGCCAUCUGCUGUGGCAUGCCUAACCCCACUGCAGUGCUGCUCUUCUCUGCUUGCUCUUUGGAGAAUCUCCAGCUGUCGUGUUGACACGCCAGUGUCAGAAGCAGGAUCUGACCAGCUGUGGAGAGAAUGACGACACUGUGUUUGCUGCCCUUUGCACUCUGAGUUUCCAGGGCUAGCCCUGUUUGCCCUGGAGAAUCCUCUCAGCCUUCCUUGGUAUGGACACCCUAAUGAAGUCUUUCUGACAUUUGGAUUUCCCAGUUGAGUCUCCCAAACGAGGCCUGCUACCUCAUGAGAUGUUGAAUGCUGGCACAACACUGGUACUUUUGUAACACUGCUAACGGGGACCAAGCAAGAAUUCAUUCCAACUUCUAGAAGCUCUGGAUCAAAGAAAAAGGGUGUGACAGCUCUUAAAGAUAAACGUAGAGGGAGAUGAGAUCCCGAUGCUGUCUAUACUCCCAGACAAAAAGUCGCAAGAGUCUUUUACUGUGGGGCUCCCUAAUCCACAUCUGGACACUCUAGGAACUGCUGGAUGAAUUCAG
rnacentral:sRNA from 1 species